ensembl:lncRNA
AUGGCUGAGCCAGCCCAGCCGAAAGCAGCCACGCCUAGCCCAGCAAUAAGCACCGCACCAGCCCAUAGACUUGUGCAACUUAUUUUGGCAAGUCAAGCCUUGGCACCAAGAGAGCAGGGAGCGAGAGGUGUGGGGGCCGAGGCCAGAUGGGUCCCCACAUCCUAUUCUCUGGAGCAGCAGCGACACUGUCAUCUCGCUCACCUUUCUUCACAGCCUGUAGUGCCCCACGUGGAGGUGUGGGCUCACCAGGGAGGACUCUCACCUCGGACAGCUGAUCCCUGUCCCCCGUGCCCAGGGACAUUCUUCUUGUCAGGAGUUGAUGAGUUCCCAGUGGAGGUGGUGGACUCCUAAGCUUUUCAAGGGAUGGGCUCAAGUAAUACAAUCCCCCCCCCAACGUAGCCAUUGGUGGCCCCUUGUUCUCAGCUUUCAGUUGCUUCUGUGUAUGCGAGGCCAGAAUCCAGGUCACAGCUCAACUGGACAUCACGGCACUGACAUUGUUCAUUUUCAUUUUGGCAGCACGCUCAGAGCUGUUCAAGAGAAGGUCACAGCGAGAUCAUAUAAACCAAAUUUAGCCAUCUGGGUACAAGGAGAGAGUUAAGUGAUUCGUGUCUGAUAAGGAAAACCAGCUUUUCACAAAGCAUCCUUUAGCGGCAGUCUUUUAGAAACCCCAGAGAUGACACCUGUCAAACCUCACAGCGCACCUGGGCUUGAGGGGACCGGAGAGUGCACAGGUUCCCUGUGUAGAUGAGAUCCCGAGGAGAUGGUGGUAGUUUUCUCAUCUUAGACUAACUCCUAUAUCCCAGAGUCCCAGAGCACUUUAUGUUCCCUGGUCACACGUUGAGGGAGGCGAUUUUAAACUAACUGGAGCAGAGAGGCUGGGGCGGGGCUUAGUUCACCUCCACUCAUGGUCUCUGCUCACCCUGAAGUCACAUCUGGCACUAAACCAUUUCCCUAGAAUAGGUACCUCACUCUGCUACACAUUAAUCACGAAACUAAACAAGAGAUUUGACCGAGCAUGGUGGCUCACGCCUGUAAUCCCAGCACUUUGGGAGGCCAAGGCAAGCGGUUCACCUGAGGUCAGGAGUUCAAGACCUGCCUGGCCAACAUGGUGAAACCCCAUCUCUACUAAAAAUGCAAAAAGUAGCCAGGUGUGGUGGCAGGUACCUGUAAUCCCAGCUACUUGGGAGGCUGAGGCAGGAGAAUUGCUUGAACCCGGGAGGUGGAGCUUGCAGUGAGCCGAUAUCGUACCACCACACUCCAGCCUGGGCAACAGAGCAAGACUCCAUCUCAAAAAUAAAUAAAUAAAUAAAUAAAUAAAUAAGUAAAUAAAUAAACAAGAGAUUUGGCAGGGCUGGAGUGGGGUGGAAAUCAGGAAAUCAUACACCGGAUAGCAAAAUCUCACAGAACUUUUCUUUCAACAUCUCUUUUCAUUUCCUGAAGACCCUUCCACCAAAACCUACCCCAUAUUUCUUCCCCCUCUCCCCCUACACAGUUCCUCAGAUCAACUCCAAUGGCCGUAGCCCACUCCGCAAGGCAGAUGCCAGACAUUUGGUCUUCUCAUCCUCAUUCUCCAUCCUUGGAAGCCACUUAAUGAGGAAUUGAGAGAGAUGGGGUGGCCUGGGAUGGGGACAGGGGAGACUCAAGUAUUCAUUCUCCAGCAUAGGCCACUUCUUAGAGGAGAGAAUUAAAACUGUCCUACAUUACUAUUAUUUCCCAUAUUAUAGUAUUAGUAGUAGUAGGCCAAGGAAAGCAGACUCGAGGAGACAAAAGGACAAAAAUUUCAGUGUACAAACAGAAUCAAAUAGCCAUUAUGUGAGAAUUGUUCAUGGUUCAGGGUGACUUUGAAAAUGGCCUCUUCAAUGACAGAGGAAAAUGAAGUUAUCGGGACAGCUAUCACGUGUCACACACUGAGAUGCUGUGACUGUUAAAUUUUAAUACGUUUGGUGCAAGGAAAAUGGAAAUUUCUGAGAAGAGAAAAGCCAAAGGGCAAAGAGAAGAGAAAUGAAACCAGCCUGGGAGUGGGGGAGUGGAAGCUGGGGCUGUCACGAGGCCCUGGCACCAUGCCCUCUUUCUUGUAAGGGAGAUAGAUGCGCUCUCAAUCACUGUGGGCCCAACUGGGAGGUUGG